rnacentral:rRNA from 1 species
UACAGAGGGUGCUAGCGUUAAUCGGAAUUACUGGGCGUAAAGGGCUCGUAGGUGGCCAACUAAGUCAGACGUGAAAUCCCUCGGCUUAACCGGGGAACUGCGUCUGAUACUGGAUGGCUUGAGAUUGGGAGAGGGAUGCGGAAUUCCAGGUGUAGCGGUGAAAUGCGUAGAUAUCUGGAGGAACACCGGUGGCGAAGGCGGCAUCCUGGACCAACACUGACACUGAGGAGCGAAAGCCAGGGGAGCAAACGGG